rnacentral:lncRNA from 1 species
UGAGCACCUGCCCUGAAAAUGUCAUUAAACUGCCCUGGCAAUUCUCCUGAAGUGUCCUACUAUGCUAUAGAAGUGACCUAGUAGUGUUGAACUCGUUCCAUGGAACUUUCCUGCCUCACCUGAGAGUAGAGGAGGUUCCUGACCUACAGUCCUAAGCACAGAUCUAGGAUCAGAUCAUCCUCAUCAAAUCCAAACCAGGACCUUAUUAAACCACAAGGGGAAACCUGACCUCAGACCAGCGUUAAAACCUCACAUCUUCCUGCCCAGACACUGACACUCCGUCCAGAAUUCCUCUGCGCUCCAGCCGUCCAUCCAUCCAUCCAGCUGUCCAUCCAUCCAUCCACACCCCAGCCAUCCAUCCAUCCAGCUGUCCAUCCAUCCAUCCACACCCCAGCCAGCCAGCCAUGGGUCUGAUGAGCGAGGACAUGGAGUGCUGUGUCUGCCUCCAGCCCUACUCUCGCAAGGAGAAGAUUCCUCGGAUGCUCCACUGUAAGCACACAUUCUGUGGGCUGUGCUUGCAGGCGAUGUCCAGGCUCCAGAGCGGCCUACUGACAGUCUGCUGCCCCCUGUGCCGUUGGAUCACCUGCACCGAGCCCAGCCUCACCCUGCCGGGGUCGCUGUGGGUUAACACUGAGAUCUGGGACCAGAUACUAGACAGAAAACAGGAAGAGGAGGAGGAGGAGGAAGAGGAGGAAGAGUGGAAGGGAGCUAACAGACAGACACAGACCACUACACAGUACAAAUGUUCUCCAUCAAGGCAUUGUGGCCUGAGGCUCAAACUACAGAAUUUCCUGAGGAGGAUGAAGCACAAUGUACUGUAAACCGAGAAGACGAAGAGCAGAGAAAAAGAAGACUGGAUUUUCCCAAUUCAGAGUAGGAGAUACUCAUUGAGUAAUGAAGCUAAUUCAUAAAACAGGACCAACUGGUGAUUUUCCAUAAUGAAGCAAGAUUGAACCAAUUAUUCAUAUGCUUUGUGUUUGGUUGACUUUGGGUGUAAUGUUCUCAGUCAACUUACCUGGUAAAAUAAGGGUUCAAUUAUAAUAUUAAUAAUAUAGGAUGGAUAGGUGGAGGAAAUAAAAAAUAAGAUAUUAAAUGGAUUGAGGAAGAAAGAAAGAUAAAGGAAGUUAUGAAUAGAUGGAGAGACAGACAGACAGACAGACAGACAGACAGACAGACAGACAGACAGACAGACAGACAGACAGACAGACAGACAGACAGACAGACAGACAGACAGACAGACAGACAGACAGACAGACAGACAGACAGACAGACAGACAGACAGACAGACAGACAGACAGACAGACAGACAGACAGACAGACAGACAGACAGACAGACAGACAUAUAGAUAGAUAGAUAGAUAGAUAGAUAGAUAGAUAGAUAGAUAGAUAGAUAGAUAGAUAGAUAGAUAGAUAGAUAGAUAGAUAGAUAGAUAGAUAGAUAGAUAGAUAGAUAGAUAGAUAGAUAGAUAGAUAGAUAGAUAGAUAGAUAGAUAGAUAGAUAGAUAGAUAGAUAGAUAGAUAGAUAGAUAGAUAGAUAGAUAGAUAGAUAGAUAGAUAGAUAGAUAGAAAUGUACAUAUUUAUGCUUAUUUAUUUUCCCUUGUGUACUUUAACCAUUUGUACAUUGUUACAACACUGUACACUGUACACAUGUGUAUAAUAUGACAUUUGUAAUGUCUUUAUUGUUUUGAAACUUCUGUAUAUGUAAUGUUUACUGUUCAUUUUUAUUGGUUAUUUCACUUUUGUAUAUUAUCUACCUAACUUGCUUUUGCAAUGUUAACACAUGUUUCCCAUGCCAAUAAAGCCCCUUGAAUUGAAUUGGAUAGAAUAGAUAGAUAGAUAGAUAGAUAGAUAGAUAGAUAGAUAGAUAGAUAGAUAGAUAGAUAGAUAGAUAGAUAGAUAGAUAGAUAGAUAGAUAGAUAGAUAGAUAGAUAGAUAGAUAGAUAGAUAGAUAGAUAGAUAGAUAGAUAGAUAGAUAGAUAGACAGACAGAGGGGUGAAGGUUAGAGACUGUGUGCUGUACAAUGUGUGCUGUGUACAAUACAAUAUACUGUGAUCAAUGUUUAUAAUAAUGUUUAAUGAUUUGAUAAAAGGUGUAUUACUGCGUGAAGGAAGUGGAGGUUCAGUAUUUAUUAUGACAUCAUUUUAGAACAGCUUUAAUGUUGCAGAUUGUUUCUUUUAUCAAUGUAAUUGUCUGCAUCAUUUCCAGUCCCACAAACCAGGGAUGUUGGAUUUGUUGAUCCUCAUUGUACAUGUUUAAUUCAUCUGUUCUGUUUGAAGAGCAGGUUUUUUAUACUGGAAUUAUAUUUAUUGGUUAAUAAAUACAUCCACUUUAAAAUAACCCUGUCUUAGAGCUGUGAAAUUUCUAAUUAUUAUCAUUACAUUAGGAAAGUAACUGUCUGAUAUCCAACUAUUUAUGGAUCCCAAAUAGAGUUGGGGGUGUUAAUACACUUCACAUUCUACACUACUAUUUCCUAAAACACAAAACAAACCCUAAACAUUCCACUGUCCUUGGUUUUGGUGUGUGCAGUACAUGACUGAAAUCACUCUCUGACUAAUCAUGUCUCAGAGAGCCCUGUAUGCAUUCUUGCAUAUGAGAUUCCAUAAAAACACAUCACUUUGAUGAAGCAAUAACCGGAAUUGACUUUUUCGGAGCAGGUUAGGAGAAUUUAUGCAGCAUGUUGGGGAAUGAUUCUGUGAUUAAUUUCCUGCUGUGAGUUAUUGUUUUAUUUAACUAGGCAAGUCAGUUAAGAACAAAAUCUGAUUUUCAAUGACGGCCUAGGAACAGUGGGUUAACUGUCUUGUUCAGGAGCAGAAUGACAGAUUUCUACCUUGUCAGCUUGGAGAU